rnacentral:rRNA from 1 species
UACAGGGGGUGCAAACGUUGCUCGGAAUCAUUGGGCGUAAAGCGCACGUAGGCGGUUCGUUAUGUCGGAUGUGAAAGCCCCGGGCUCAACCCGGGAAGUGCAUUCGAAACUGGCGCGCUUGAAUAUGGAAGAGGGUCGCGGAAUUCCUGGUGUAGCGGUGAAAUGCGCAGAUAUCAGGAGGAACACCGAUGGCGAAGGCAGGUCUCUGGGCCACUACUGACGCUGAGAAGCGAAAGCAUGGGGAGCGAACAGG